rnacentral:rRNA from 1 species
UACGUAGGGGGCGAGCGUUAUCCGGAAUUAUUGGGCGUAAAGAGUACGUAGGUGGCCACCUAAGCGCAAGGUGAAAGCCCGGGGCUUAACUCCGGCGAGCCUUGUGAACUGGGCGGCUUGAGUGCAGGAGGGGAAAGUGGAAUUCCUAGUGUAGCGGUGAAAUGCGUAGAUAUUAGGAGGAACACCAGUGGCGAAGGCGACUUUCUGGACUGUAACUGACACUGAGGUACGAAAGCGUGGGGAGC